GGUUUCUUAGCUGUGAGAUUGAUUUUUUUGGUUUAUUUGCCUUUUGCAUCAUGCUUGGCGGAGUUUUGUAAAGUAUUUUUUUAUACCGAAAGGUUCUGAUCUUGAGUUUAGUUGUUUGGCAUUGUUUUAAACUUGGGUAAAGUUUUUUAAAUUAAAUUUAUGGAGUGAUAAGUAAGUCGUAGAUCUUUAUAACUGUUUAGUUGUUGGUUAUUUAUAGUAAUGUAUGUGGCUAAAAGGUCAUUUAUGUUUUUAUACAUUUAGUAUUUUGUGUUGUUUAAUAAGGUUAGGGGUACCUAGUUUUUGUUAUAUUGUUAUAAAUAUGGUUUUGUUUAUUUUGGUGAUUUGUUAAUUGUUUAAACAACUUUUUGUGAUAUUUGGCUAUUAUAUUAUCGUUGAAUGAGUAAUUUUAUUAUGCUAUUUAUUUCUUGAGUUCUUUCCGUCUGUUUAUUAAAAACAUUUCCAACUUGAAUUGUAGUUGGUAGUGCCUGCCCAGUGUUAGUUAAUUAAUGGCCGCAGUAUAUUUGACUGUGCAAAGGUAGCAUAAUUAAUUGCCUUUUAAUUGGGGGCUUGUUUGAAUGGUUUGACGUGAUUGGUAUGAAUAUUUGGUAUUUUAUUGAAAUUGGUUUUAAGGGUUCAGAAUCCUUUAUUUUUAGUAAGACGGAAAGACCCUAGGAUCUUUUGUUUUUGUUUGGGGCAAUUUUUGGUGUUUUAUGAAUAUUAUGACCCUGAAAUGUGAUAGGUUUAUUGGGCUAAGUUACCCUAGGGAUAACAGUGUGAUGAUUAAUAAGAGGUCUUAUCGAAUUAAUUGUUUGCCACCUCGAUGUUGACUUAGGCUAAGGUUUUGGUGUAGUAGCUGAGAUUAUAGGUCUGUUCGACCUUUUUAGCCUCCAUGAGUUGAGUUAAGACCGGCGUGAGCCAGGUCGGUUCUUAUCUAUUGUAGAAGUUUAUCAGUACGAAAGGACAGUGAAUUUUUUUAUU
rnacentral:rRNA from 1 species